rnacentral:rRNA from 1 species
UGGGGAAUAUUGCACAAUGGGCGAAAGCCUGAUGCAGCGACGCCGCGUGAGGGAUGACGGCCUUCGGGUUGUAAACCUCUUUCAGCACGGAAGAAGCGAAAGUGACGGUACGUGCAGAAGAAGCGCCGGCUAACUACGUGCCAGCAGCCGCGGUAAUACGUAGGGCGCAAGCGUUGUCCGGAAUUAUUGGGCGUAAAGAGCUCGUAGGCGGUUUGUCGCGUCUGCUGUGAAAGCCCGGGGCUUAACCCCGUGGUGUGCAGUGGGUACGGGCAGACUAGAGUGCAGUAGGGGAGACUGGAAUUCCUGGUGUAGCGGUGAAAUGCGCAGAUAUCAGGAGGAACACCGAUGGCGAAGGCAGGUCUCUGGGCUGUUACUGACGCUGAGGAGCGAAAGCAUGGGGAGCGAACAGG